rnacentral:rRNA from 1 species
UACGAAGGGGGGCUAGCGUUGUUCGGAAUCACUGGGCGUAAAGCGCACGUAGGCGGAUGUGUCAGUCAGGGGUGAAAUCCCGGGGCUCAACCUCGGAACUGCCUUUGAUACAGCACAUCUUGAGUCCGGAAGAGGUGGGUGGAAUUCCUAGUGUAGAGGUGAAAUUCGUAGAUAUUAGGAAGAACACCGGUGGCGAAGGCGGCCCACUGGUCCGGUACUGACGCUGAGGUGCGAAAGCGUGGGGAGCAAACAGG